UGCGUCCCGUGAUGACAUGUUUUUACCUACAUUGUCUGACUCGAAUGAAUGAAACACUUCUCUGAGGAUGCA